rnacentral:lncRNA from 1 species
UGGGCAGUGUCGUCCUGCUUGAUGAAGAGGAAGCCUACAGUAGCAGCCAGCCUAAAAUCACAGUCAGGACGAUUAUUCGUGUGGAAGUUCACUUCACCAAGCACAGGGCCAUAGCAUUGCCCAGUUUGAGGGGGCACCUUAACCCCCAGAAGAGUUCUGCAGUAGAACUAGGCCGGGUCGAACAGCACCGUUGUUAACCACAAGGGAGGA